rnacentral:rRNA from 1 species
GAUGAACGCUGGCGGCGUGCCUAAUACAUGCAAGUCGAGCGAACAGACGAGGAGCUUGCUCCUCUGACGUUAGCGGCGGACGGGUGAGUAACACGUGGAUAACCUACCUAUAAGACUGGGAUAACUUCGGGAAACCGGAGCUAAUACCGGAUAAUAUAUUGAACCGCAUGGUUCAAUAGUGAAAGACGGUUUUGCUGUCACUUAUAGAUGGAUCCGCGCCGCAUUAGCUAGUUGGUAGGGUAACGGCUUACCAAGGCAACGAUGCGUAGCCGACCUGAGAGGGUGAUCGGCCACACUGGAACUGAGACACGGUCCAGACUCCUACGGGAGGCAGCAGUAGGGAAUCUUCCGCAAAGGGCGAAAGCCUGACGGAGCAACGCCGCGUGAGUGAUGAAGGUCUUCGGAUCGUAAAACUCUGUUAUUAGGGAAGAACAAAUGUGUAAGUAACUAUGCACGUCAUGACGGUACCUGAACAGAAAGCCACGGCUAACUACGUG